GAGGCUAUGAAGAAAUACUUCUGGGUAUUUUGGAGCCAUCAGUGAGAGACCACUCUGGAAAAGCUAGAAUUCUAAUGGCGUUCCUUGAAGCAGGACGCUUGACAGUUUCAGGUGGGCAGUUUGACUGGGGCGGUCACCUCCUAAAAGGUAACGGAGGUGUGCAAAGGUUCCCUCAGGCUGGACGGAAAUCAGCCGUAGAGUGUAAAGGCAGAAGGGAGCUUGACUGCAAGACCUACAAGUCGAGCAGGGGCGAAAGCCGGCCUUAGUGAUCCGACGGUUCCGUGUGGAAGGGCCGUCGCUAAACGGAUAAAAGUUACUCUAG
rnacentral:rRNA from 1 species